GGACAGUUUACACAGAGCUUCAACGUAACAGACCACAGGUUCAUCUGAGGUUACACAAAGAGCUUUGGUUUAGACACAGUUUUUGAUAGUGGUGAAGGACUUGCAAUGCUUUAUUCAAAAAAAGUACAACUGAGAGCUCUGUGUGUCAUUAGCAAACACAAAGUCCUGAAAUGUCAUCAAAAUGAACAAGGAAACAGUGCAAUAAGACUUCUGGGGAAACUUCAACCUUCAACCUUGGUCCUAAUUGUAGAUCUUUUUGUGUCCACAUUUUUUGCUAGGGACAAAAACGUAUCGAAAUCGGUCCAGUAUUGAGUUAGAACGCUAAACCAACUGCAAAAUGGCGGUACAAUGCACGCACAAGCAUGCACGUCUCUGACGUAAGCACCCCAUUCAGUGCUUGUAGUCGAAAGGCCUACUGUGUGGUGUUGGAUUGGGCACUCCGAGGAGAGCGCCUCCCUUCGAUAAUCGACUACAGGCGCUGAAUGGGGUGGUACAUCAGCGACCGGAAGGAGAGAGAGGUAAGACACUGACUGUACAAACAUUUUCUGAUGUUUCUUUACAGCUAUUAAGGUAAACAGGCGCAGGUGUGUCUCUGUAUGGAUCCCUUCCAUGUUGUCAGAUCCUUAUAAUAACAUUUACAAGCCUGUCAGUGGCUAAAACUAGUGGUUAACUUUGACGUGCCUGCUCGCUCCAGAGGAUCCCAUUGUAUAGCCAUUUUGUGGUUGCUGGUUUUAGCAUUUAUGAAUUAAAGCUGCAUAUUUAAUAGAACAUUUUGCAGAGCAUUACCAUAAUACAAAUAACAACAAAAACAACAGCAACAAUCAUAAUACUGGUAAUAAUUACAACCGUAAACAUUACAAUAGCAAUGAUUGGGCCCGGAAUCAUGAUUUAUAGACAAUAUACAACCGUAUGGAUGUCCCCCUCUGCCCCUAAAUCUCUGGAAAGAAAUUCCAGAGAAAAAGCAAGAGAUGCUCAGAGAAAAACCCUGUUACGUCUUUGGAAAUUCCGCUGCGGGGGGUACGUGACGCGGGGCCCAAAGCUCACAGGAACACUGCGUCUUAUAGCAUCUCUGACACCUGGUACGUUUUUCAUGAUCUUACUCUCUACUUUUUACGCAGGAAAACAACUAAAUCGUCAAAGGUCACUUCCUUUUUUGAUUUUUUGGUACAAACUGUUUUCACAGUUCUUGUUUAAAACCAUGAGAAAACAAAGUGUGCUCACCUUUGUUUCCUCUUUGAGCUUCACCUCAAUAAUAGUUUGUGGCUUUUGGCUUCCGUGACAAAUAAUACAUGUUAAACGUGACCUGGUCUUAGUCUGGUUUUUAAAAAAAAACCUGUUUCUGUGCACGUUUCUGUGUUUGUAUGCAUGUGAGUGUUUUUGUGUGUGUGUGUGUGUGUGUGUGUGUGUGUGUGUAGAAGGUAUGUUGGUGUGUGUGUGUGUGCAUGUGUGAGCAGGUGUGUGUGUGGGAGUGCAGGUGUGUGCGUGCCUGAGUGUGUACAUGUGUGGUUGUGUGUGUGUGUUAAUAUUUUGUGGGUUUUCAGAUGAUUAUCAGUAUCUCAGAAGAUGAAAUGUGCUGAAGCUGCCAAUCUGCACACAUCUGCUCCUGACCACAAAUGCUUGAAUAUGUAAACAAUCACAUGAACUCCCCCCACCCCCUGCACCAUGAGCCGAGGUUCUGCCCAAGGUUUACUCUGCCCAAGUUUGUCACCCUUGUGUUUACUCCCGGGGGUUCAGACUCUGGCUUGUGUAAAGCGCCUUGAGACAACUUUUUUGCUACGGCACUAUAUAAAUAAAAUGUAAUUGAAUUUAUGGUGAGCUCAAGUGAGCAUAAAUAACAAUAUAAUCUUAUUCUGAAAAAUAUAGAAUGCAUUU
ensembl:lncRNA